rnacentral:rRNA from 1 species
CCUACGGGAGGCAGCAGUGAGGAAUAUUGGUCAAUGGGCGGAAGCCUGAACCAGCCAAGUAGCGUGCAGGAUGACGGCCCUACGGGUUGUAAACUGCUUUUAUACGGGAAUAACGCGCCUUACGUGUAGGGCUUUGCAUGUACCGUAUGAAUAAGGAUCGGCUAAUUCCGUGCCAGCAGCCGCGGUAAUACGGAAGGUCCGGGCGUUAUCCGGAUUUAUUGGGUUUAAAGGGAGCGUAGGCCGCAUGUCAAGCGUGCUGUGAAAUGUUCGGGCUCAACCCGGGCCUUGCAGCGGAAACUGGCGUGCUUGAGUCCGCGGAAAGCAGGCGGAAUUCGUCGUGUAGCGGUGAAAUGCUUAGAUAUGACGAAGAACCCCGAUUGCGAAGGCAGCAUGCUGCAGCGGAACUGACGCUGAUGCUCGAAAGCGCGGGUAUCGAACAGGAUUAGAUACCCCAGUAGUC